ACUAGGUUUGAAGGCAUUCUCUCAUCUAAGUUUCAGUCGUCUCGUUCCUGAUAAGAACAUGCAUUUCAGCUCUGGACGUUCUUAGGUGACAAUGGAGCGCUACAGGAGAGCUUCACCAGCAAGACUGCUCACUUUCAGGGACCUCCUGGUAUCACCACUGAACACUGAGGAAGUCCACAGACGAUUAACUGACGAUGAGGAUUCAAUUUCAAGUCGUGACACUGACAGAGAGUCUAACAGCUCGCCGUUGUGCACACUGGAUGAGUUACAAGAACAGCUGGCAGUGGCUGAACAAUCUGACCCAAACGCGCCCCCGAAGCCCGCUCGGUUAGAUGAAGCGUUACCGGAUCUGCUCCGGAGUGGAAGCCCACUUCGCAGACGAGUGUCCAGCCCCGAAGCCCGCUCGGUUAGAUGAAGCGUUACCGGAUCUGCUCCGGAGUGGAAGCCCACUUCGCAGACGAGUGUCCAGCCCGGUGUCUGUCACGCUGAAGCAUGUGAAAAGGGAAGUGGAAUUAUCUCGGAGGCGCAGCCUGAGGCUCAAGGCUCAGGUGGAUAAACUGGAACAGCAGAAUGAUAGCGGACCCGGCUGGAGUGAAAACAGACAACGGGUGGCAGAGGAGAUUCAGUCUGUUGUAAAGCUGCUACUCCCUCUGACAGACUUAGAGUCAACAGAAGCCGAUCAGCCAUCCCAGGCUAACCCUUUAGACAAGACACUGCUUCAACUGCAGAAAGUGGCCCGGAGUCUCGCCAUUAACACCUCUCAGGGAAAUAAAUCUGGGGAAGAUGCUGCCAUUUUACAGCAAGCUCUACGGGACAGAGAUGAAGCCAUUGCAAAGAAACAAGCAAUGGAGACUGAGCUACUGAAAAGCAAAAACGAACUAAUGACACUGAACAAUCAACUUCUGGAAGCUGUUCAGAGUCGACUAGAACUGUCCAUGGAGCUGGAGGCCUGGAAAGUAUGUUUAAUUGCAUUUUUUAUUAUCAGUAAAAAAUGCUAAAAAUGUACCUACUUUUGCUUUUGAAUAUUUGUCUAAAGUAAGAAGGAAAGA
rnacentral:lncRNA from 1 species